rnacentral:rRNA from 1 species
AGCGUACACGGUGGAUGCCCUGGCAGUCAGAGGCGAUGAAGGACGUGCUAAUCUGCGAAAAGCGUCGGUAAGGUGAUAUGAACCGUUAUAACCGGCGAUGUCCGAAUGGGGAAACCCAGUGCAAUUCGUUGCACUAUCGUUAACUGAAUACAUAGGUUAACGAGGCGAACCGGGGGAACUGAAACAUCUAAGUACCCCGAGGAAAAGAAAUCAACCGAGAUUCCCCCAGUAGCGGCGAGCGAACGGGGAGCAGCCCAGAGUCUGAAUCAGCUUGUGUGUUAGUGGAACGGUCUGGAAAGUCCGACGGUACAGGGUGAUAGUCCCGUACACCAAAAUGCACAGGUUGUGAACUCGAAGAGUAGGGCGGGACACGUGGUAUCCUGUCUGAAUAUGGGGGGACCAUCCUCCAAGGCUAAAUACUCCUGACUGACCGAUAGUGAACCAGUACCGUGAGGGAAAGGCGAAAAGAACCCCGGCGAGGGGAGUGAAAAAGAACCUGAAACCGUGUACGUACAAGCAGUGGGAGCACCUUCGGGUGUGACUGCGUACCUUUUGUAUAAUGGGUCAGCGACUUAUAUUCUGUAGCAAGGUUAACCGUAUAGGGGAGCCGCAGGGAAACCGAGUCUUAACUGGGCGUUAAGUUGCAGGGUAUAGACCCGAAACCCGGUGAUCUAGCCAUGGGCAGGUUGAAGGUUGGGUAACACUAACUGGAGGACCGAACCGACUAAUGUUGAAAAAUUAGCGGAUGACUUGUGGCUGGGGGUGAAAGGCCAAUCAAACCGGGAGAUAGCUGGUUCUCCCCGAAAGCUAUUUAGGUAGCGCCUCGUGAAUUCAUCUUCGGGGGUAGAGCACUGUUUCGGCUAGGGGGUCAUCCCGACUUACCAACCCGAUGCAAACUACGAAUACCGAAGAAUGUUAUCACGGGAGACACACGGCGGGUGCUAACGUCCGUCGUGAAGAGGGAAACAACCCAGACCGCCAGCUAAGGUCCCAAAGUCAUGGUUAAGUGGGAAACGAUGUGGGAAGGCACAGACAGCCAGGAUGUUGGCUUAGAAGCAGCCAUCAUUUAAAGAAAGCGUAAUAGCUCACUGGUCGAGUCGGCCUGCGCGGAAGAUGUAACGGGGCUAAACCAUGCACCGAAGCUGCGGCAGCGACACUAUGUGUUGUUGGGUAGGGGAGCGUUCUGUAAGCCUGCGAAGGUGUGCUGUGAGGCAUGCUGGAGGUAUCAGAAGUGCGAAUGCUGACAUAAGUAACGAUAAAGCGGGUGAAAAGCCCGCUCGCCGGAAGACCAAGGGUUCCUGUCCAACGUUAAUCGGGGCAGGGUGAGUCGACCCCUAAGGCGAGGCCGAAAGGCGUAGUCGAUGGGAAACAGGUUAAUAUUCCUGUACUUGGUGUUACUGCGAAGGGGGGACGGAGAAGGCUAUGUUAGCCGGGCGACGGUUGUCCCGGUUUAAGCAUGUAGGCUGAUUAUCCAGGCAAAUCCGGAUAAUCAAGGCUGAGGUGUGAUGACGAGGCACCACGGUGCUGAAGUAACAAAUGCCCUGCUUCCAGGAAAAGCCUCUAAGCAUCAGGUAACAUCAAAUCGUACCCCAAACCGACACAGGUGGUCAGGUAGAGAAUACCAAGGCGCUUGAGAGAACUCGGGUGAAGGAACUAGGCAAAAUGGUGCCGUAACUUCGGGAGAAGGCACGCUGGUGUGUAGGUGAAGUCCCUGCGGAUGGAGCUGAGACCAGUCGAAGAUACCAGCUGGCUGCAACUGUUUAUUAAAAACACAGCACUGUGCAAACACGAAAGUGGACGUAUACGGUGUGACGCCUGCCCGGUGCCGGAAGGUUAAUUGAUGGGGUUAUCCGUAAGGAGAAGCUCUUGAUCGAAGCCCCGGUAAACGGCGGCCGUAACUAUAACGGUCCUAAGGUAGCGAAAUUCCUUGUCGGGUAAGUUCCGACCUGCACGAAUGGCGUAAUGAUGGCCAGGCUGUCUCCACCCGAGACUCAGUGAAAUUGAACUCGCUGUGAAGAUGCAGUGUACCCGCGGCAAGACGGAAAGACCCCGUGAACCUUUACUAUAGCUUGACACUGAACAUUGAGCCUUGAUGUGUAGGAUAGGUGGGAGGCUUUGAAGCGUGGACGCCAGUCUGCGUGGAGCCAACCUUGAAAUACCACCCUUUAAUGUUUGAUGUUCUAACGUUGGCCCCUUAUCGGGGUUGCGGACAGUGUCUGGUGGGUAGUUUGACUGGGGCGGUCUCCUCCCAAAGCGUAACGGAGGAGCACGAAGGUUAGCUAAUCCUGGUCGGACAUCAGGAGGUUAGUGCAAUGGCAUAAGCUAGCUUGACUGCGAGCGUGACGGCGCGAGCAGGUGCGAAAGCAGGUCAUAGUGAUCCGGUGGUUCUGAAUGGAAGGGCCAUCGCUCAACGGAUAAAAGGUACUCCGGGGAUAACAGGCUGAUACCGCCCAAGAGUUCAUAUCGACGGCGGUGUUUGGCACCUCGAUGUCGGCUCAUCACAUCCUGGGGCUGAAGUAGGUCCCAAGGGUAUGGCUGUUCGCCAUUUAAAGUGGUACGCGAGCUGGGUUUAGAACGUCGUGAGACAGUUCGGUCCCUAUCUGCCGUGGGCGCUGGAGAAUUGAGGGGGGCUGCUCCUAGUACGAGAGGACCGGAGUGGACGCAUCACUGGUGUUCGGGUUGUCAUGCCAAUGGCACUGCCCGGUAGCUAAAUGCGGAAGAGAUAAGUGCUGAAAGCAUCUAAGCACGAAACUUGCCCCGAGAUGAGUUCU